rnacentral:sRNA from 1 species
ACUCAACACUAACAAUUUAGAAUGAGCAAAUCGUCGCUACUAUAGUAUGCCCUCCUUUUGCCUGGGAAACUUGAACAGUGAGUUAGCUCAAAACUUGUCUUUACGAGUUU